GUGGGGAAUUUUGGACAAUGGGCGCAAGCCUGAUCCAGCAAUGCCGCGUGCAGGAAGAAGGCCUUCGGGUUGUAAACUGCUUUUGUACGGAACGAAACGGUCCUGGUUAAUACCUGGGGCUAAUGACGGUACCGUAAGAAUAAGCACCGGCUAACUACGUGCCAGCAGCCGCGGUAAUACGUAGGGUGCGAGCGUUAAUCGGAAUUACUGGGCGUAAAGCGUGCGCAGGCGGUGCUGUAAGACAGGCGUGAAAUCCCCGGGCUCAACCUGGGAAUUGCGCUUGUGACUGCAGUGCUGGAGUACGGCAGAGGGGGAUGGGAUUCCGCGUGUAGCAGUGAAAUGCGUAGAUAUGCGGAGGAACACCGAUGGCGAAGGCAGUCCCCUGGGCCUGUACUGACGCUCAUGCACGAAAGCGUGGGGAGCAAACAGGAUUAGAAACCCCGGUAGUCC
rnacentral:rRNA from 1 species